UACGGAGGGUGCAAGCGUUGUCCGGAAUCACUGGGCGUAAAGGGCGCGUAGGCGGCUCAUGAAGGCUGUGGUGAAAGCCCGGGGCUCAACCCCGGGUCGGCCGUGCGAACUGUCGAGCUGGAGCACUGUAGAGGCAGGUGGAAUUCCGGGUGUAGCGGUGGAAUGCGUAGAGAUCCGGAAGAACACCGGUGGCGAAGGCGGCCUGCUGGGCAGUGGCUGACGCUGAGGCGCGACAGCGUGGGGAGCAAACAGG
rnacentral:rRNA from 1 species